rnacentral:rRNA from 1 species
UACGAAGGGGGGCUAGCGUUGUUCGGAAUUACUGGGCGUAAAGGGCGCGCAGGCGGCUCAGACAGUCAGAUGUGAAAGCCCCGGGCUUAACCUGGGAAUGGCGUUUGAAACUACGGAGCUGGAGUGUGGCAGAGGGAGGUAGAAUUCCACGUGUAGCGGUGAAAUGCGUAGAUAUGUGGAGGAAUACCGAUGGCGAAGGCAGCCUCCUGGGCCAACACUGACGCUCAUGCACGAAAGCGUGGGGAGCAAACAGG